rnacentral:rRNA from 1 species
UACGUAGGUGGCAAGCGUUGUCCGGAUUUACUGGGCGUAAAGAGCGCGCAGGCGGUCGUUCAAGUCGCGUGUGAAAGCCCCCGGCUCAACUGGGGAGGGUCACGCGAUACUGAUCGACUCGAAGGCAGGAGAGGGAAGUGGAAUUCCCGGUGUAGUGGUGAAAUGCGUAGAGAUCGGGAGGAACACCAGUGGCGAAGGCGGCUCGCUGGGCCGGUCCUGACACUGAGGCGCGAAGGCGUGGGGAGCGAACGGG